CCUACGGGAGGCAGCAGUGAGGAAUAUUGGUCACUGGGCGCGAGCCUGAACCAGCCAAGUCGCGUGAGGGAAGACGGUCCUAUGGAUUGUAAACCUCUUUUGUCGGGGAGCAAAAGACGCAACGCGUCGCGUUCCGCGUGUACCCGAAGAAAAAGCAUCGGCUAACUCCGUGCCAGCAACCGCGGUAAUACGGAGGAUGCGAGCGUUAUCCGGAUUUAUUGGGGUUAAAGGGUGGGCAGUCGGAAGAUGAAGUAAGCGGUACAAUUUAGGGGCUCAAGCGCUUCGAGCCGUUGAAACUGGUAUGGUUGAGUGGGCGAGAAGUAUGCGGAAUGCGUGGUGUAGCGGUGAAAUGCAGAGAUAGCACGCAGAACUCCGAUUGCGAAGGAAGCAUACCGGCGCUCAACUGACGCUCAGGCACGAAAGUGUGGGGAUCGAACAGGAUUAGAUACCCCAGUAGUC
rnacentral:rRNA from 1 species